GUUGUUGGGUAGGGGAGCGUUCUGUAAGCCUGCGAAGGUGGCCUGUGAGGGCUGCUGGAGGUAUCAGAAGUGCGAAUGCUGACAUAAGUAACGAUAAAGCGGGUGAAAAGCCCGCUCGCCGGAAGACCAAGGGUUCCUGUCCAACGUUAAUCGGGGCAGGGUGAGUCGACCCCUAAGGCGAGGCCGAAAGGCGUAGUCGAUGGGAAACAGGUUAAUAUUCCUGUACUUGGUGUUACUGCGAAGGGGGGACGGAGAAGGCUAUGUUAGCCGGGCGACGGUUGUCCCGGUUUAAGCAUGUAGGCGGAGGUUCCAGGUAAAUCCGGUACCUUUUAACGCUGAGGUGUGAUGACGAGGCACUACGGUGCUGAAGUAACAAAUGCCCUGCUUCCAGGAAAAGCCUCUAAGCAUCAGGUAACAUCAAAUCGUACCCCAAACCGACACAGGUGGUCAGGUAGAGAAUACCAAGGCGCUUGAGAGAACUCGGGUGAAGGAACUAGGCAAAAUGGUGCCGUAACUUCGGGAGAAGGCACGCUGGUGUGUAGGUGAAGUCCCUGCGGA
rnacentral:rRNA from 1 species